rnacentral:tRNA from 1 species
CACCAGAUAGCUCAAUUGGUAGAGCACCUGACUAGAGAUUCACGGGGCCAAGGUUCGAAUCCCCGUCUGGUUC